AGAGCUCGUANGCGGUCUGUCGCGUCUGCUGUGAAAACCCGAGGCUCAACCUCGGGCCUGCAGUGGGUACGGGCAGACUAGAGUGCGGUAGGGGGAGAUUGGAAUUUCCUGGUGUAGCGGUGGAAUGCGCAGAUAUCAGGAGGAACACCGAUGGCGAAGGCAGAUCUCUGGGCCGUAACUGACGCUGAGGAGCGAAAGGGUGGGGAGCAAACAGGCUUAGAUACCCUGGUAGUCCACCCCGUAAACGUUGGGAACUAGUUGUGGGGGCCUUUCCACGGUCUCCGUGACGCAGCUAACGCAUUAAGUUCCCCGCCUGGGGAGUACGGCCGCAAGGCUAAAACUCAAAGGAAUUGACGGGGACCCGCACAAGCGGCGGAGCAUGCGGAUUAAUUCGAUGCAACGCGAAGAACCUUACCAAGGCUUGACAUAUAGAGGAAACGGCUGGAAACAGUCGCCCCGCAAGGUCUCUAUACAGGUGGUGCAUGGUUGUCGUCAGCUCGUGUCGUGAGAUGUUGGGUUAAGUCCCGCAACGAGCGCAACCCUCGUUCUAUGUUGCCAGCACGUAAUGGUGGGAACUCAUGGGAUACUGCCGGGGUCAACUCGGAGGAAGGUGGGGAUGACGUCAAAUCAUCAUGCCCCUUAUGUCUUGGGCUUCACGCAUGCUACAAUGGCCGGUACAAAGGGCUGCAAUACCGUGAGGUGGAGCGAAUCCCAAAAAGCCGGUCCCAGUUCGGAUUGAGGUCUGCAACUCGACCUCAUGAAGUCGGAGUCGCUAGUAAUCGCAGAUCAGCAACGCUGCGGUGAAUACGUUCCCGGGUCUUGUACACACCGCCCGUCAAGUCAUGAAAGUCGGUAACACCUGAAGCC
rnacentral:rRNA from 1 species